AAAGUCGUAACAAGGUUUCCGUAGGUGAACCUGCGGAAGGAUCAUUACCGAAUGAACUGCACCUUCUUGUAGCAGAACCAUUGCCCAUGGCGCGGAUGAUCAGGUCUGACAAAGGUUUGGCCUAUUCCGAAUGGGUUUGAGGUUGAGGUGGCUCAACGCUAACACCAUUUUGGCCAUGCUGGACGUUGGAUGUGUAACGGUUCUCUGGGCCCUUUGGUCUGCUACGCUUAUCAAACCCGUCAUUGUAUGUAUGGUGGGGUGGCAUCCACCUUUUGUUGGGUUGCCCCUCAAGUAUGUAAACAUGAAUAUAACUUUCAACAACGGAUCUCUUGGCUCUC
rnacentral:misc_RNA from 1 species